CCUACGGGAGGCAGCAGUGAGGAAUAUUGGUCAAUGGGCGGGAGCCUGAACCAGCCAAGCCGCGUGAGGGAAGAAGGUACUGCGUAUCGUAAACCUCUUUUGUCAGGGAACAAAGGCGGGGACUAGUCCCCGGUUGAGGGUACCUUAAGAAUAAGCAUCGGCUAACUCCGUGCCAGCAGCCGCGGUAAUACGGAGGAUGCGAGCGUUAUCCGGAUUUAUUGGGUUUAAAGGGUGCGUAGGCGGCCUGUUAAGUCAGCGGUAAAGGCCUGGGGCUCAACCCAGGCAGGGCGUUGAAACUGGGGGGCUGGAGUUGGAGAGAGGUACGCGGAAUGCGCGGUGUAGCGGUGAAAUGCUGAGAUAUCGCGCAGAACCCCGAUUGCGAAGGCAGCGUACCGGCUCCAGACUGACGCUGAGGCACGAAAGCGUGGGUAUCGAACAGGAUUAGAUACCCGAGUAGUC
rnacentral:rRNA from 1 species